GCGUUCGAGUGCUCGAAAGGAUGCGGACGGAGUUACAAGUAUAAACGCAAUUUGUUAAGACAUUUAAGGGAGGAAUGCGGAGUAAAACCCAACCACAAAUGUUCGGUUUGUUUGAAGGCAUAUAAUCGAAGCGACUAUUUGUUAAUCCAUCUGGCUCAAACCCAUAGUAUAUCAAAUAAGAAAUAAAUUGAUUUAAAAAACUACUAAAAUAAGGUAAGUAAAAAAUAUUUUCGACAGGUGAUUUUAAGGGUUACCUUGUUACGUUUGCAUUAUAUUAUUUAUGGUUUCAGAUGCAAGUUUUUCGAUUCGGAAUUUUCGGGGAACCCUAACCGACCAUCAACACUCAACACUUCCUGCGCAGCCUUUGCAUUUUAUUCUUAUAUAAACUAUACAUUUUGUCUAACGGGAAAAUAGUACAUAUUAUGAUCUAAUAAAUGAUUUGGUUUAUACAAAAACGGUUCUUAACUCCAUUUCGGGCCAAAAUAUGUUAACCACGUAUUUUCAAUGUAAGAAAUAGAUUCAACGUUGUAUGCAAGAAAGAACCUUAUGCAGACAUUUUCUGGACUAAAAACGCCUUGUUCUUGAAUGACUUAUCA